rnacentral:tRNA from 1 species
GCUUUCGUUGUGUAACAGUAGCACACUCGGCUCGUGUUCGAGACGUCCAAGUUCGAGUCUUGGUGAGGACA